rnacentral:rRNA from 1 species
GUGCCAGCAGCCGCGGUAAUACAGAGGUCUCAAGCGUUGUUCGGAUUCAUUGGGCGUAAAGGGUGUGUAGGUGGCGCGCUAAGUCGGGUGUGAAAUUUCGGAGCUUAACUCCGAAACUGCAUUCGAUACUGGCGUGCUUGAGGACUGGAGAGGAGACUGGAAUUCAUGGUGUAGCAGUGAAAUGCGUAGAGAUCAUGAGGAAGACCAGUGGCGAAGGCGGGUCUCUGGACAGUUCCUGACACUGAGACACGAAGGCCAGGGGAGCAAACGGGAUUAGAUACCCCGGUAGUCC